rnacentral:rRNA from 1 species
UACGUAGGCAGCAAGCGUUGUUCGGAGUUACUGGGCGUAAAGGGUGCGUAGGCGGCUUUUUUAAGUUUGGUGUGAAAUCUCCCGGCUCAACUGGGAGGGUGCGCCGAAUACUGAGAGGCUAGAGUGUGGGAGAGGAAAGUGGAAUUCCUGGUGUAGCGGUGAAAAUGCGUAGAUAUCAGGAGGAACACCGGUGGUGUAAACGCUUUCUGGACCAUAACUGACGCUGAGGCACGAAAAGCGUGGGUAGCAAACAGG